rnacentral:lncRNA from 1 species
AUGACCAACAGCAAGAGAUUGUGAUUAUAGUUUUAGGUUCAGAUCAGACAUUUGGUUGUCAUAUGUAAUGGGAAGCCUCAGGGUCAGUCUGGAGUCCGAGGAGGAGGUGAAAACAUAGACAAGAACCGUGUUGUGGGAAGGAAUGGGAGAGGUAAGCAGGCGAAGCAGGUGUAGAAUGCGCCUGUGUGGAUAAUUUCAGCAGGCUCUGGGGUGUGGGAGUGACAGCAGACCCUGGGCUGUUCCAGGCAGGGAAAUAGUGGCCUGCAGUGUAGGCGCCCAAUAGGGAAAACAGUCGCCAGGGAGGGAGGAAUGGACUCUGGAGUGGUUAGUUUGCAUAUGAAGGGUACCCCCCUCACCAGCAUAUGAGACAUUCUCUGUGCCCAGGAAUUGGCUAGCCUUGGGAGGGGCAGUUCCACCAAGGGUCACCAGAGUCCCUGGAUAUCAUAACAGAGAAUACAGAAAGUAAAAGGUAUCAUUAAUGGAUGGGUGUCCAGCGGCACCCCAGAGUGGACAGCGUGUAUCUCAUGGUCACUUCUGGUCUCAUGGCCAAGUAGGUGGUGAGCUCCACCGGGAUGCUGUGCAAAGCCAGGAGUGGUUCUGACAUGGAUAAAAAACUGUAGGCAGAAGACAGCAUGUGUUGCUUCUGAAACAUGAUUGGGGCUUCCGAGAAGCUUCAUUCAACACCCUUACGUGCUGCAGAGCAACUAGAGGGCAGAGGAUGAUCUACAUGGUGGCACAGAGUGACAGCGAGAGAGUGUUGUAAGAGCCUCUAGAGCCAUUGAUGCAGCUCCUUUGUCUUUGCUGUUGGUGCCUCCACGCAAGUCUCACAUCAUCAGGAGGCAGAAUGUGAUUGGCUCAGCUUGGGUCAGCUGCCCACCCCUCUACUUACUGGAUCGUGUUGCUGCAACACCACACCAGUUCUGUUGCCGACACACAACUCCCCAUCCUCCCUGUGUGCUGAGGCUUGAGUAUGGAACUCAGUCCCGAGACAUGGAGAGGGAAGAAGGGAUGGGAGCCAGUUCCAGACCUGCUCUGACCAACAUCCCCCAGAAUGCUUCAGCCCUCGUCUCCUCUGCUUCGGGGACCUUGGGAGGCCACUGUGUUGUGGAGAUGACACCGGGAUUUAUACAUCUGUAGAAUAUUACCACCGAAGGCAAGUGAAGACAUGAUCUCCAAACCCAGCUUUUUCAGGUAUCCUGGCAUCGGCAGAGUUCUCUUCCCCUCAUCUUUGGAAAGUUUCGCAAGCUGGGCCCCUCCUGUGUGUAGCCAACAAUGAUGUUUUGUGUCUUCAUCCCGUUUGAAGGGCCUGGCACACAAACAGCCCAGCCUAUUCAUUCCUAGAGCAAUUUUACAUAUG